UUUUUUGCGGGUGGAGCAUCAUCAAGAUUCACAUAGCCUUUUUAGGGCUUUAAUUAUUAUUUUUAAAGUCCUAUGGCGAUGUGUGAGAAUCUUGAUGAUGCUGCAGCGGCAAAUAA
rnacentral:pre_miRNA from 1 species